rnacentral:rRNA from 1 species
GAUGAACGCUGGCGGCGUGCCUAAUACAUGCAAGUCGAGCGAACAGACGAGGAGCUUGCUCCUCUGACGUUAGCGGCGGACGGGUGAGUAACACGUGGAUAACCUACCUAUAAGACUGGGAUAACUUCGGGAAACCGGAGCUAAUACCGGAUAACAUGUUGAACCGCAUGGUUCAACAGUGAAAGACGGUCUUGCUGUCACUUAUAGAUGGAUCCGCGCCGCAUUAGCUAGUUGGUAAGGUAACGGCUUACCAAGGCAACGAUGCGUAGCCGACCUGAGAGGGUGAUCGGCCACACUGGAACUGAGACACGGUCCAGACUCCUACGGGAGGCAGCAGUAGGGAAUCUUCCGCAAUGGGCGAAAGCCUGACGCAGCAACGCCGCGUGAGUGAUGAAGGUCUUCGGAUCGUAAAACUCUGUUAUUAGGGAAGAACAAAUGUGUAAGUAACUAUGCACGUCUUGACGGUACCUAAUCAGAAAGCCACGGCUAACUACGUG